rnacentral:tRNA from 1 species
GGGAAUACAGCUCAGUUGGUAGAGUGCUUGCCUCACAUGCAUAAGGCCCUGGGUUCAAUCCCCAGUACCACCA